rnacentral:tRNA from 1 species
CUUGGUAAAAGAAAGAUUUUAACUUCCCUAAGCGGGAUUACAGCCCGCCACCUGUACUCUCGGCCACUUUACCU